rnacentral:rRNA from 1 species
AGGCGACGGCGUUCUCGCCGGAUGUAGGAACCGACCCGGGGACCGCCGGGGCAACCCGGCGCCCCCGAGACGGGGCGAACCACGGUGAAAUGACGGAUCGUCGGCCCCCGCGCCGGCGACUCGCCGAAUGAGUUUCUGACCUAUCAACUCGAGACGGCGGGGUAGAGGCCCGCCGCGGUAACGACGGGUAACGGGGAAUCAGGGUUCGAUUCCGGAGAGGGAGCCCGAGAAACGGCUACCACUUCCAAGGAAGGCAGCAGGCGCGCAACUUACCCUAAUCUCGAUUCGAGGAGGUAGUGACAAGAAAUACCGAUGCGGGACCCUACGGGUGCCGCGUUCGGAAUGAGUACGAUUCGAACCACCUAACGAGGAACGAUCGGAGGGCAAGUCUGGUGCCAGCAGCCGCGGUAAUUCCAGCUCCAAUAGCGUACGUUAAAGU